CCAGACAUCUUCGGCCACGUCGAUUCCGAUCAACAAAUGAUUGAGUAAAAAAAAAAAGAAAUUAUAAGCCAAUUCGAUUCUUAAAUCACCAAUUCGCCUCAUACCCAAAAUUUGUCCAGUCCUUGUAAGUGGAAGAAUGUGCUGCAAAAUCA